GAAGGUUCGUCCGCUCCAAGUUAGGCGGGAGCUAAGGUCAGGCCGAAAGGCGUAGCCGAUGCACAGACGGUAGAGAUUCCGUCCCCACCGAAAGAUUUAAGCACAGGGACACUUUUUGAAGGUCGGAGCCAGGUGUUGGUUCUGGUAGUGAUCGAGGGAAAUUUAGUACCGAAGUCCGGCUGGAAGAGAGGCGAGAAAAGCUGUGUGUAUAUCUAAGGUGCCCGUACCGCAAACCGACACAGGUAGGUAGGAAGAAGAUUCUAAGGCCAACGGGAGAAGGGUUGUUAAGGAACUCGGCAAGUUGACCCCGUAACUUCGGAAUAAGGGGUGCUCACGAGAGUGAGCCGCAGAGAAUAGGCCCAGGCAACUGUUUACCAAAAACACAGGUUUGUGCUAAAUCGAAAGAUGACGUAUACGAGCUGACGCCUGCCCGGUGCUGGAAGGUUAAAAGGAGAUGUGCAAGCAUUGAAUUGAAGCCCCAGUGAACGGCGGCCGUAACAAUAACGGUCCUAAGGUAGCGAAAUUCCUUGUCAGGUAAGUUCUGACCCGCAUGAAAGGCGUAAUGAUCUGGGCACUGUCUCAACAGCCCGCCCGGCGAAAUUGUAGUACCGGUGAAGAUGCCGGUUACCCGCGACAAGACGGAAAGACCCCAUGGAGCUUUACUGUAGCCUGAUAUUGGGUUUCGGUGUUGCAUGCACAGGAUAGAUGGGACACUGGGAAGCGGAUGCUUUGGCGUUCGUGGAGUGGACGUUGGGAUACCAUCCUUGCGACAUUGGAAUUCUAACCUGCGCCUCUGAAUCGAGGCGGGGGACAUUGUCAGGUGGGCAGUUUGACUGGGGCGGUCGCCUCCUAAAAAGUAGCGGAGGCGUUCAAAGGUUCGUUCGAUCUGGACGGAAACCAGAUGAUUGAGUGCAAACGCAUAAACGAGCCUGACUGCGAGACUGACGGGUCGAGCAGAGACGAAAGUCGGAGUUAGUGAUCCGGUGGUAUGUGAGUGGAAAUGCCAUCGCUCAACGGAUAAAAGUUACCCUGGGAUAACAGGCUGAUCUCCCCCAAGAGUCCACAUCGACGGGGAGGUUUUGGCACCUCGAUGUCGGCUCAUCGCAUCCUGGGGCUGAAUUCGGUCCCAAGGGUUUGGCUGUUCGCCAAUUAAAGUGGUACGCGAGCUGGGUUCAGAACGUCGUGAGACAGUUCGGUCCCUAUCUGUCGUGGGCGCAGGAUAUUUGAAAGGCGCUGUCCCUAGUACGAGAGGACCGGGAUGGACGAACCUCUGGUGCACCAGUUGUCACGCCAGUGGCACAGCUGGGCAGCUAUGUUCGGAUCGGAUAAACGCUGAAAGCAUCUAAGCGUGAAGCCGGCCUUAAGAUAAGAUAUCCCACUGAGUCAAUCAGGUAAGACCCCUUGAAGACUACAAGGUUGAUAGGCACACAGUGUAAGCGGAGUGAUCCGUUCAGCUAGCGUGUACUAAUAGGUCGAGGGCUUGAUC
rnacentral:rRNA from 1 species